rnacentral:rRNA from 1 species
AAUUCGAUUGAGUUUGAUCAUGGCUCAGAUUGAACGCUGGCGGCAUGCCUUACACAUGCAAGUCGAACGGCAGCACGGGGGCAACCCUGGUGGCGAGUGGCGAACGGGUGAGUAAUGCAUCGGAACGUGCCCAGUAGUGGGGGAUAACUAGUCGAAAGAUUAGCUAAUACCGCAUACGACCUAUGGGUGAAAGCGGGGGAUUCGCAAGAGCCUCGCGCUAUCGGAGCGGCCGAUGUCUGAUUAGCUAGUUGGCGGGGUAAAAGCCCACCAAGGCUUCGAUCAGUAGCUGGUCUGAGAGGACGACCAGCCACACUGGGACUGAGACACGGCCCAGACUCCUACGGGAGGCAGCAGUGGGGAAUUUUGGACAAUGGGCGCAAGCCUGAUCCAGCCAUGCCGCGUGCGGGAAGAAGGCCUUCGGGUUGUAAACCGCUUUUGGCAGGAACGAAACGGCGCGAGCGAAUAUCUCGCGUUAAUGACGGUACCUGCAGAAUAAGCACCGGCUAACUACGUGCCAGCAGCCGCGGUAAUACGUAGGGUGCAAGCGUUAAUCGGAAUUACUGGGCGUAAAGCGUACGCAGGCGGCUUUGCAAGACAGGUGUGAAAUCCCCGGGCCUAACCUGGGAACUGCAUUUGUGACUGCAUGGCUAGAGUUUGUCAGAGGGGGGUGGAAUUCCACGUGUAGCAGUGAAAUGCGUAGAUAUGUGGAGGAACACCGAUGGC